rnacentral:rRNA from 1 species
AGCAGCCGCGGUAAUUCCAGCUCCAAUAGCGUAUAUUAAAGUUGCUGCAGUUAAAAAGCUCGUAGUUGAAUUUCGGGAUCAAUAUGUUGGUCGUGCCUCGGUACGUACUAGCUUAUUGGUUUCUCCCUUCUGACGAACCAUGAUGUCAUUUAUUUGGUGUUAUGAGGAAUCAGGACUGUUACUUUGAAAAAUUAGAGUGUUUAAAGCAGGCUCACGCUUGAAUACAUUAGCAUGGAAUAAUGAAAUAGGACGUUUGAUUCUAUUUUGUUGGUUUCUAGGAUCGACGUAAUGAUUAAUAGGGAUAGUUGGGGGCAUUAGUAUUCAAUUGUCAGAGGUGAAAUUCUUGGAUUUAUUGAAGACUAACUACUGCGAAAGCAUUUGCCAAGGAUGUUUUCAUUAAUCAAGAACGAAGGUUAGGGGAUCGAAGACGAUCAGAUACCGUCGCAGUCUUAACCAUAAACUAUGCCGACUAGGGAUCG